AAUUUUUUUUUCUGAAAUAAUUAGUAUAUACGCUUUUUGGUGAAAAUAGUAUAAACAUAAGCAUCAAUUUUAUAUCUAUUCUAAUUGAAUUUACUACAGUGUGAAUGAUAUUCUACCUAAUGAAAUCAAUCUUUUUAUAAAAAAUUGAUCUUCAUAAAUGUUUUUUUUUGCUUUACUAUAGUGAACUAGUGAACAAUAAAUCAUAUACAAUUUAAAAAUUA
rnacentral:lncRNA from 1 species